UACAGAGGUCCCAAGCGUUGUCCGGAAUUAUUGGGCGUAAAGAGCUCGUAGGCGGUUUGUCGCGUCUGCUGUGAAAACGCGAGGCUCAACCUCGCGCCUGCAGUGGGUACGGGCAGACUAGAGUGCGGUAGGGGAGAUUGGAAUUCCCGGUGUAGCGGUGAAAUGCGCAGAUAUCGGGAAGAACACCCGUGGCGAAGGCGGCUCUCUAGUACGGUACUGACGCUGAGACGCGAAAGCGUGGGGAGCGAACAGG
rnacentral:rRNA from 1 species